UAUAUUUUGAUGUAAGAUGCAUAUAGAUUUUUGAUAUCUAAUGUUUUAGUUUAAUUCUAAAAAAUAUAA
rnacentral:tRNA from 1 species